CCGAAAGGCAGGAGUGCCUGCAAGGGAGCGCGGAGACAGGUGGUGCAUGGCUGUCGUCAGCUCGUGUCGUGAGAUGUUGGGUUAAGUCCCGCAACGAGCGCAACCCUCACCUCUUGUUGCCAUCAGGUCAUGCUGGGCACUCUAGAGGAACUGCCCCGGUCAACGGGGAGGAAGGCGGGGAUGACGUCAAGUCAUCAUGCCCCUUACGCCCUGGGCUACACACGUGCUACAAUGGCCGGUACAAAGGGAUGCCACACCGCGAGGUAGAGCUAAACCCAAAAAGCCGGUCUAAGUUCGGAUUGGAGUCUGCAACUCGACUCCAUGAAGGAGGAAUCGCUAGUAAUCGCGUAUCAGCACGACGCGGUGAAUACGUUCCCGGGCCUUGUACACACCGCCCGUCACACCACGAAAGCCAG
rnacentral:rRNA from 1 species